rnacentral:rRNA from 1 species
AACCUGGUUGAUCCUGCCAGUAGUCAUAUGCUUGUCUCAAAGACUAAGCCAUGCAUGUCUAAGUAUAAGUAUUAUACAGCGAAACUGCGAAUGGCUCACUAAAACAGUUAUAGUUUAUUUGAUAAUCGAAUUUACAUGGAUAACCGUGGUAAUUCUAGAGCUAAUACAUGCUGGUGUGCCCAACUUUUUGGAAGGGCGGUAUUUAUUAGAUAACAAGCCAAUAUUCCUCUGGUCUAUUGUGGUGUCUCAUAAUAACUGAUCGAAUCGCAAGGCCUAUGGCCGCGAUAAGUCAUUCAAGUUUCUGCCCCAUCAGCUUUCGAUGGUAGUGUCUUGGACUACCAUGGCGUUUACGGGUAACGGAGGAUUAGGGUUCGAUUCCGGAGAGGGAGCCUGAGAAACGGCUACCACAUCUA